GUAGUCUCGCACAGAUGCAUAUCAAUAAGCGGAGGAAAAGAAACUAACAAGGAUUCCCCUAGUAACGGCGAGUGAAGCGGGAAGAGCUCAAAUUUGAAAUCUUAAAGGGUUUCCCUUUACGAAUUGUAGUUUAAAGAAGUGUUUUCUGUUGAGGUUUUGGUAAAAGUUCUUUGGAAUAGGACAUCAUAGAGGGUGAGGAUCCCGUAUUUGACCUUUACUUUCAACUUUGUGAUACACUUUCAAAGAGUCGGAUUGUUUGGGAAUGCAGUCCAAAAUGGGAUGGUAAAUUUCAUCUAAAGCUAAAUAUUGGCGAGAGACCGAUAGCGAACAAGUACCGUGAGGGAAAGAUGAAAAGAACUUUGAAAAGAGAGUUAAACAGUACGUGAAAUUGUCAAAAGGGAAGCGUUUGACACCAGUGUUGUUUUUCUGAAAAUCAAUUAAAGAACUGUUUAUGCUAAGCUGUUUAGACUUUAUCAGCUUAACUGUUUAGUUUUGAGCUUUUCUUUAAUGCACUUUUCAGUUAACAAGUCAACAUCAAUUUCUUUUGCUGUAAAAAAGCUUGAGGAAGGUGGCUUGAGAUUCGUCUUAAGUGUUUAUAGCCUCUUGCCUAUGCAGUCGGAGAGAUUGAGGUCUGCAGCGUAGAUCCUUCGGGGCUAAAUGCAUUUGUGCUAAGUUAUAACAUUUUAUAGACAACUUGUUGACUAUGAUUUGUCUUGUAGCUUACUCGCUUAUGUUAUUUUACCUACGCUUAGGAUGUUGAAGACUCUACAGAGAUA
rnacentral:rRNA from 1 species